rnacentral:misc_RNA from 1 species
AAAAAAAAAAAAAAAAAACACACUCAUGGUUAGCUGUUUGUGUUGCUCAACCCAAGCAUGUAUCGUCAUGUAUCAUAGAGACAGACAUGACAGGGUUUUGUGUGUUGAUGUUUUUACAGAUAUCUCCAAGCACAUUUGAAUUUUAACUGAACUGCCGAUGGCUCACUAUACAUUCUGUCAUCAUCCCUCUAUUAACUCCUCAAAGCAAGCGAAUGGUACUUCUCAAAAAUCUUACAAGUUCCCAAAGAAUCAAGUAAUUGCCAUUCUUCAAUCCAUUUGUCUUUCCUGUGUGGCAAACCAACUCUGCAAGUGCAAGUUUAUCAUAUAUGAGCAAGUAAAAAGCCCCCAUCCGAGUUGUUUAACUCAGAAUUAAUGUCAGCACGUCAAAAUCUUCAUGGGCCAUAGCUGAUUACGGUAAGCAAAGCUGCUUAAUGACUCCAUUAUUGACAUGUUUCUUUAGGGGUUGCAAUUUGAUUUCAUAGAGCUUUGGCCAUAAUUUUCCAGUAACUGCAAACAUAUGUAACAGGAUUGCCCAUAAAUAAAAAUCCCAAGAACAUAUACAGAAUGUACGAUUAGCCUAAAAACACGAGCAUGUUUUCAGUAAAAAGUACUAACAACAUCACAGGUCUUAUAAUACCAUAUUUCAAGGGUGUGUACUGUGUACCAUAUAUAGAGGCCACAUAUAAAGCACAUGGAUACAACUGUAGCAUCUUACCAAAAAGACGGUUGUCAUUGCUAU